GGAAUAUUGGACAAUGGGCGAAAGCCUGAUCCAGCGACGCCGCGUGUGUGAAGAAGGCCUGCGGGUUGUAAAGCACUUUCUAUGGGAACGAAAUGUGCCGGGUUAAUACCCCGGCAAGCUGACGUUACUCAAUGAAGAAGCACCGGCUAACUCUGUGCCAGCAGCCGCGGUAAUACAGAGGGUGCGAGCGUUAAUCGGAAUUACUGGGAGUAAAGCGCACGUAGGUGGCGACGUAAGUCGGGUGUGAAAGCCCCGGGCUCAACCUGGGAAUUGCAUUCAAAACUGGCAUGCUAGAGUAUGUGAGAGGGGGGUAGAAUUCCAAGUGUAGCGGUGAAAUGCGUAGAGAUUUGGAGGAAUACCAGUGGCGAAGGCGGCCCCCUGGCACAAUACUGACGCUCAGGUGCGAAAGCGUGGGGAGCAAAC
rnacentral:rRNA from 1 species